rnacentral:rRNA from 1 species
AACUAACAAGGAUUCCCCUAGUAACGGCGAGUGAAGAGGGAAGAGCCCAAGAUUGAAAGCUGGCGUCUUCGGCGUCCGCAUUGUAAUCUCAAGAAGUGUUUUCCGCUUCGGACCAUGCCUAAGUCCCUUGGAAAAGGGCAUCAUAGAGGGUGAUAAUCCCGUACAUGGCAUGGAGCGCCCGAGGCUUUGUGAUACGCUUUCUAAGAGUCGAGUUGUUUGGGAAUGCAGCUCAAAAUGGGUGGUAAAUGCCAUCUAAGGCUAAAUAUUGGGGAGAGACCGAUAGCGAACAAGUACAGUGAUGGAAAGAUGAAAAGAACUUUGAAAAGAGAGUUAAACAGUACGUGAAAUUGCCAAAAGGGAAGGGUAGGAGGUCAGAGAUGCGUCUUGGGAUUCAGCCUUGCUUUUGCUUGGUGUUUUUCCCAAGUUGCAGGCCAACGUCGGUUUUGGGCACUGGAGAAGGGUGGAAGGAACGUGGCACCUCUCGGGGUGUGUUAUAGCCUUCUACUGGAUACAGCGACCGAGACCGAGGACAGCAGCGUACUCGCAAGAGCGGGCCUU